rnacentral:lncRNA from 1 species
AAGCCCCCUCAUCUUCUCUCCUUCACAUUCAUAUGUUUUCUUUUCCACUUUUUUUGUUUUUGUUUUUGUUGGGGUUUUCACUUUUUUCAUAAAUUCUUUUGCCAUCCAACCAUAAAUGCAUUUCUCUCAUAUAUUUUGCUUUUCCUUUACUGUUCUCUUUUCUCUUCUCUCUCUCAACACCACCCACCCCAAAUCAAGAACCUCACCUCUCUCUCUUUCUCUCUCUCCAUCUUUAGCAUAGAUUUCCUCCAUUGCAAACCAAGCUUCCACCUUUACAGCUUUCUGAGGUCCCUAGUGCUUACACAUUCACAUUACCCACCAACCCAUUUUUACCCACCAUUAAAAUAAACUUUUUUUUCUCUCUCUCUGCAUUUGGCCUUACAAAGAUUAGAUUUUUGUCUGGCCGCAGUUUAUUCCCUGUGGUCCACUUCAGCCAAACACCCUUUAGUUUUUUCUCUUGGCUUUUGUGGGGUUCUUUAGUUUUCCUUUCUGCAUUGGCAUAUCUAUGCGUUUUGAGUCUCUGUUGGUUCAAAAAGAGGCAUUUCCUUUGCUUCUCAAAGAAGAAGAUCAAGGGGGUUAAUUAACUCUGGUUUCUAUAGAUCACUUUGUGUAAAGGUAACAACUUUAUUGGAUUUACAUCUGGUUUCAUUCUCUUACUUCAGUUUUAAGUCAUUCUUUCCUUUAAUUUAUGCCCAUUUUGAAAAGAUUUAAACUUGUUUUAAAUUAGUGAUUUUUACCUGAAUUCUUGAUUUGUUUCAAUCAGGAAGGGAAAGUGUUUCAUUGUAAUUUGUCACUGUUCUUAAUCUAAUUACUAGUAUAUGCUUUUGUGGAUAGUUGUAUCUUGAUGUCAGCUGCCACCAGUUUAGUUGCCCUGUCAAUGUCUUAUCUUUAACUAAUUGUACUUGGAAGUGUAAUUAAUUUAGACACUACCAACUACUUUGUUUCAGUAAAGUGUUAAAAGAAGUAAAACAAAGCCACAAAUUGUAGAAAUGCUACAGCUGUUGAUAUGUGUGAGUGAUGUUACUCCUCUUCACAGUGACCUAAAUUGUUAGUGGGAUACAGGAGGCAAUGGAGUAAAUCUGACUCUGCAAUUUGAAGGACAAAGCAGAAUUUGUGGAAAUGUCUUCUGGGGACUUAAACAGUGAAUUGUCUAAAAAGACAUCAUUUUUAGGUCUCAAAUUAUGGGUUGUGAUGGGCUUAUGUGUUGGUGUAUUUAUCGUUGGGAUACUCUGUAUGUUGUCAAUAUGGAUAACGUGUAGGAGAAAAUCUAGGAGAACACUGGACGGGUAUUCACAUUGCCAAAUACCCAAUGUUUCCAAGGAUAUCAAGGUUGAUAGAGUUGGCGCUGCAAAUGUUCACGAUCAUCCUCAAAGCUUAUUUCUGACUAUUAAUGAUAAAUCAAAUGAAACGACAUCGGAAAAGAUGUUAGUCCAUUUGGGUAGGAGCAAAUCAAGUGAUGCUGAUAAUAUCAGCCAAUGCAGUUCAAUAUAUCAUAACGAAAGGGCUUUUAGUUCGCAGUCUGGGGAAGAGGGAAGUUCAGGGACAGUGAGGAAACAACCAUCCUAUGGAAUUGCAAUGCCUUCUCCUUUGAUUGGCUUGCCAGAGAUCUCACAGCUCGGGUGGGGCCACUGGUUCACGCUUAGAGAUCUUGAACUUGCAACAAGUCGUUUCUCUGCAGAGAAUGUGCUUGGUGAAGGUGGAUAUGGUGUAGUUUAUAAGGGCAGGUUGAUCAAUGGGACAGAAGUAGCUGUGAAGAAGCU